AACGGGUGAGGAACACGUGAGGAAUCUGCCUUUCACUUCGGGAUAACUCCGGGAAACCGGGGCUAAUACCGGAUAUUUUCAACUGGCGGCAUCGCCGGUUGAAGAAAGUUUUUCGGUGAAAGAUGACCUCGCGGCCUAUCAGCUUGUUGGUGAGGUAAUGGCUCACCAAGGCAACGACGGGUAGCCGGCCUGAGAGGGCGACCGGCCACACUGGGACUGAGACACGGCCCAGACUCCUACGGGAGGCAGCAGUGGGGAAUAUUGGGCAAUGGAGGAAACUCUGACCCAGCGACGCCGCGUGAGGGAUGAAGGCCUUCGGGUUGUAAACCUCUUUCAGCAGGGAAUAAGCGAAAGUGAAGGUACCUGCAGAAGAAGCACCGGCUAACUAUGUGCCAGCAGCCGCGGUAAUACAUAGGGUGCAAGCGUUGUCCGGAAUUAUUGGGCGUAAAGAGCUCGUAGGUGGUCGAUCACGUCGGAUGUGAAAAUCUGAGGCUUAACCUCAGACCUGCAUUCGAUACGGGUUGACUGGAGUGUGGUAGGGGAGACUGGAAUUCCUGGUGUAGCGGUGGAAUGCGCAGAUAUCAGGAGGAACACCGAUGGCGAAGGCAGGUCUCUGGGCCAUUACUGACACUGAGGAGCGAAAGCGUGGGGAGCGAACAGGAUUAGAUACCCUGGUAGUCCACGCCGUAAACGGUGGGCGCUAGUUGUGGGAACCUUCCACGGUUUCUGCGACGCAGCUAACGCAUUAAGCGCCCCGCCUGGGGAGUACGGUCGCAAGACUAAAACUCAAAGAAAUUGACGGGGCCCCGCACAAGCAGCGGAGCAUGCGGCUCAAUUCGACGCAACGCGAAGAACCUUACCAAGGCUUGACAUAUACAGGAAUACGGCAGAGAUGUCGUAGCCGCAAGGUCUGUAUACAGGUGGUGCAUGGUUGUCGUCAGCUCGUGUCGUGAGAUGUUGGGUUAAGUCCCGCAACGAGCGCAACCCUCGUCCUGUGUUACCAGCAUUUAGUUGGGGACUCACAGGAGACUGCCGGGGUCAACUCGGAGGAAGGUGGGGAUGACGUCAAAUCAUCAUGCCCCUUAUGUCUUGGGCUGCACGCAUGCUACAAUGGCUGGUACAAAGGGCUGCGAUACCGCAAGGUGGAGCGAAUCCCAGAAAGCCAGUCUCAGUUCGGAUUGGGGUCUAAAC
rnacentral:rRNA from 1 species